rnacentral:rRNA from 1 species
GAGUAAUGUCUGGGAAACUGCCUGAUGGAGGGGGAUAACUACUGGAAACGGUGGCUAAUACCGCAUAACGUCGCAAGACCAAAGAGGGGGACCUUCGGGCCUCUUGCCAUCAGAUGUGCCCAGAUGGGAUUAGCUUGUUGGUGAGGUAACGGCUCACCAAGGCGACGAUCCCUAGCUGGUCUGAGAGGAUGACCAGCCACACUGGAACUGAGACACGGUCCAGACUCCUACGGGAGGCAGCAGUGGGGAAUAUUGCACAAUGGGCGCAAGCCUGAUGCAGCCAUGCCGCGUGUAUGAAGAAGGCCUUCGGGUUGUAAAGUACUUUCAGCGGGGAGGAAGGUGUUGUGGUUAAUAACCACAGCAAUUGACGUUACCCGCAGAAGAAGCACCGGCUAACUCCGUGCCAGCAGCCGCGGUAAUACGGAGGGUGCAAGCGUUAAUCGGAAUUACUGGGCGUAAAGCGCACGCAGGCGGUCUGUCAAGUCGGAUGUGAAAUCCCCGGGCUCAACCUGGGAACUGCAUUCGAAACUGGCAGGCUUGAGUCUUGUAGAGGGGGGUAGAAUUCCAGGUGUAGCGGUGAAAUGCGUAGAGAUCUGGAGGAAUACCGGUGGCGAAGGCGGCCCCCUGGACAAAGACUGACGCUCAGGUGCGAAAGCGUGGGGAGCAAACAGGAUUAGAUACCCUGGUAGUCCACGCCGUAAACGAUGUCUACUUGGAGGUUGUGCCCUUGAGGCGUGGCUUCCGGAGCUAACGCGUUAAGUAGACCGCCUGGGGAGUACGGCCGCAAGGUUAAAACUCAAAUGAAUUGACGGGGGCCCGCACAAGCGGUGGAGCAUGUGGUUUAAUUCGAUGCAACGCGAAGAACCUUACCUGGUCUUGACAUCCACAGAACUUUCCAGAGAUGGAUUGGUGCCUUCGGGAACUGUGAGACAGGUGCUGCAUGGCUGUCGUCAGCUCGUGUUGU